GAGGGUAUAGCUCAGUGGUAGAGUACAUGCUUAGCAUGCAUGAGGUCCUGGGUUCAAUCCCCAAAACCUCCU
rnacentral:tRNA from 1 species